rnacentral:lncRNA from 1 species
AUAUUGUAACAAACCUAGGGUUACUAGAAAUUUCUGUUUAACCAUCAUUCAGGAGGAGUGGAAUCGACGGCAGUGUGAAGAAACAGAUUUGUAAUAAACAUAACAAUGAUAUUUAUUUCAACAGUAUUUUGACUUCUUCUUUCAAUAUAAUAAACAUCAAAUACACAUUCAUCAUUCAACAGAUAAAGCAAUAAAUCGGGUGGUCAAUAUAAAAGGUAGUUGACGGUUCAAGAGAUUGAUUCAGAAUGACAUGUCUGUCUACAGGCUCCUAUUUAUGUCUUUUGGCACUUACUAUGACGUUAGAGUAAACAUCUAAUCGUCCAAUCAAAAGCAACGUUUCUUACGUCUUUUGGCUUGAAACGUUCAAGAAGACAAUCAGAUUUCGUUAUUUCUAAAUAAAUACUCAUUAUUGAGUUGUCCUCAUUUUGUCCUUCUUGUCCGAAUUUUAUUUAAAAGCGAAUAAAACCAAAAGGACAUUUCUACAUAAUGCUAUUUUUAAACGGACAGUAAAUUCCUUUCUCGAUACGGCGUAUGAACUUGGGUGUAAUUUACAUAACCUUACGCAUUAGAUAUAAUGCUUAAAUGAGAUCAAUGAAAACCCUGUUCUAUCAUAAAUAAAGACAAUGUUAAUGAAAAGGGAGGCACAAACAUAAUAAAUACGCAAUUUAUCUGCAUUGAUAAAGUGUUAACUUAAACAAAUAAUAAUAUGAGAUCGCAAAGUGAAAGUACAGAACGGUGUCAUGGCAGAUGUAAACAAGUUGAAUCUCACGACGAUAUUUGUCAAAAUAAAUCACUAUAUGACGG